rnacentral:rRNA from 1 species
GAUCAUGGCUCAGGAUGAACGCUGGCGGCGUGCCUAACACAUGCAAGUCGAGCGAUCUUCUUCGGAAGAGAGCGGCGGACGGGUGAGUAACGCGUGGGUAACCUGCCCUGUACACACGGAUAACAUACCGAAAGGUAUGCUAAUACGAGAUAACAUACUUUUAUCGCAUGGUAGAAGUAUCAAAGCUCUGGCGGUACAGGAUGGACCCGCGUCUGAUUAGCUAGUUGGUGAGGUAA